rnacentral:rRNA from 1 species
GGCAGCAGUAGGGAAUCUUCCGCAAUGGACGAAAGUCUGACGGAGCAACGCCGCGUGAGUGAUGAAGGUUUUCGGAUCGUAAAGCUCUGUUGUUAGGGAAGAACAAGUGCCGUUCAAAUAGGGCGGCACCUUGACGGUACCUAACCAGAAAGCCACGGCUAACUACGUGCCAGCAGCCGCGGUAAUACGUAGGUGGCAAGCGUUGUCCGGAAUUAUUGGGCGUAAAGGGCUCGCAGGCGGUUUCUUAAGUCUGAUGUGAAAGCCCCCGGCUCAACCGGGGAGGGUCAUUGGAAACUGGGGAACUUGAGUGCAGAAGAGGAGAGUGGAAUUCCACGUGUAGCGGUGAAAUGCGUAGAGAUGUGGAGGAACACCAGUGGCGAAGGCGACUCUCUGGUCUGUAACUGACGCUGAGGAGCGAAAGCGUGGGGAGCGAACAGGAUUAGAUACCCUGGUAGUCCACGCCGUAAACGAUGAGUGCUAAGUGUUAGGGGGUUUCCGCCCCUUAGUGCUGCAGCUAACGCAUUAAGCACUCCGCCUGGGGAGUACGGUCGCAAGACUGAAACUCAAAGGAAUUGACGGGGGCCCGCACAAGCGGUGGAGCAUGUGGUUUAAUUCGAAGCAACGCGAAGAACCUUACCAGGUCUUGACAUCCUCUGACAAUCCUAGAGAU